CCUGAAGUUUAUACUAGUGCCUGGUGUGUGCGUUGAGCCGGCGUGUGUGUGUGUGUGUGUGGUAGAGGGAGAAGUGAGAUAGUGGCGGCGAUUAGCUUCGGCGCGAGUACUGACUUUAGAGUCAUAGUGAGGGUAACAAAGUGUCUCCUCUGUGCUUUCUGACCGAGGUGGAAAAUCUGUAGCAGGAAAAGUGCAUCCUCUCCUUGAUUUCAUGUUGUUUAUAGAGAAGGAGAACCAGGAAAUGAGUCGGGCGACAUGCAACGCUACCAAGCCACGGCCGAGUGAUGUGCGUCGCCGCACUGUGUGGUUACAUUUCUCGAGAGGUGCACAUCAGGCUACGGUGUAGAGAUCCGGCAUAGACGCAGAGGGGUCUGUGGGGGUAGGCGACGAUUCGACGCAGAAGCAUAAAACGGCCUUU